rnacentral:rRNA from 1 species
GAAUUUUGGACAAUGGGCGAAAGCCUGAUCCAGCAACGCCGCGUGCAGGAGGAAGGCCAUCGGGUUGUAAACUGCUUCUGUACGGAACGAAAAGCUUUGGGUUAAGACCCUGGAGUCAGGACGGUCCCGUAAGAAGACGCACCGGCUAACUACAACCCAGCGGCCGCGGUAAUACGUAGGGUGCAAGCGUUAAUCGGAAUUACUGGGCGUAAAGCGUGCGCAGGCGGUUUUGUAAGACAGAGGUGAGAUCCCCGGGCUCAACCUGGGAACUGCCUUUGUGACUGCAAGGCUAGAGUACGGCAGAGGGGGGUGGAAUUCCGCGUGUAGCAGUGAAAUGCGUAGAUAUGCGGAGGAACACCGAUGGCGAAGGCAACCCCCUGGGCCUGUACUGACGCUCAUGCACGAAAGCGUGGGGAGCAAACA